GCGAGGGUGGCGGAAUGGCAGACGCGCUAGACUUAGGAUCUAGUGGGGAACACCCGUGCGGGUUCAACUCCCGCCCCUCGCACCA
rnacentral:tRNA from 1 species